rnacentral:rRNA from 1 species
GACGAACGCUGGCGGCGUGCUUAACACAUGCAAGUCGAACGGAAAGGCCUGCUUUCCCUUGUGGAUUGCGGGUACUCGAGUGGCGAACGGGUGAGUAACACGUGAGUGAUCUGCCCCCAACUUGGGUAUAAGCCUGGGAAACUGGGUCUAAUUCCCGAUAGGACUGCAGGGUGGUGCCUGUGGUGGAAAACGAUUUUCUAGUGGUUGGGGAUGAGCUCGCGGCCUAUCAGCUUGUUGGUGGGGUAAUGGCCUACCAAGGCGGCGACGGGUAGCCGGCCUGGGAGGGUGGACGGCCACAUUGGGACUGAGAUACGGCCCAGAAUCCUACGGGAGGCAGCAGUGGGGAAUAUUGCACGAUGGGCGGAAGCCUGAUGCAGCGACGCCGCGUGGGGGAUGACGGCCUUCGGGUUGUAAACUCCUUUCGACAGCGAGGAAGCCACCUGGUUGGAAGGGUGGUGACGGUAGUGGUAGAAGAAGCACCGGCUAACUACGUG